rnacentral:rRNA from 1 species
GGGGAAUUUUGGACAAUGGGCGCAAGCCUGAUCCAGCAAUGCCGCGUGGGUGAAGAAGGCCUUCGGGUUGUAAAGCCCUUUUGUUGGGAAAGAAAAGCAGCCGGCCAAUACCCGGUUGUUCUGACGGUACCCAAAGAAUAAGCACCGGCUAACUACGUGCCAGCAGCCGCGGUAAUACGUAGGUGGCAAGCGUUGUCCGGAAUUAUUGGGCGUAAAGCGCGCGCAGGUGGUUUCUUAAGUCUGAUGUGAAAGCCCACGGCUCAACCGUGGAGGGUCAUUGGAAACUGGGAGACUUGAGUGCAGAAGAGGAUAGUGGAAUUCCAAGUGUAGCGGUGAAAUGCGUAGAGAUUUGGAGGAACACCAGUGGCGAAGGCGACUAUCUGGUCUGUAACUGACACUGAGGCGCGAAAGCGUGGGGAGCAAACA